rnacentral:antisense_RNA from 1 species
AACCUUCUUUUAUUUUUAAAAGAUAUUCUUGUCUCUUACUAAAGCUUCCUGUUCAAACUCUGGCUGAGAAUUUUUGCUGCUUCUUUCCCUACCUCCUCAUUUCCGAAGAACUGAGGUUAAACCAUGACCACUCCUCGAGGCCUUCCCUGGAGAUUCGGGCUCAUAGAUUCCUCUUUCUCUGAAUUCUAAAGUACUUAUGGAAGAUUCAGCAGAUAAUUUUUAAUGAAUUAAAUUUUAAUACAUCAAAUUACUUCAUAAUAAAAUUUAAUAAAA